rnacentral:rRNA from 1 species
AGAACGAACGCUGGCGGCAUGCCUAACACAUGCAAGUCGAACGAGACCUUCGGGUCUAGUGGCGCACGGGUGCGUAACGCGUGGGAAUCUGCCCUUAGGUACGGAAUAACAGUGAGAAAUUACUGCUAAUACCGUAUGAUGUCUUCGGACCAAAGAUUUAUCGCCUAGGGAUGAGCCCGCGUUGGAUUAGCUAGUUGGUGGGGUAAAGGCCUACCAAGGCGACGAUCCAUAGCUGGUCUGAGAGGAUGAUCAGCCACACUGGGACUGAGACACGGCCCAGACUCCUACGGGAGGCAGCAGUGGGGAAUAUUGGACAAUGGGCGAAAGCCUGAUCCAGCAAUGCCGCGUGAGUGAAGAAGGCCUUCGGGUUGUAAGCUCUUUUACCCGGGAAGAUAAUGACUGUACCGGGAGAAGUAACGCCCGGCUAACUCCGCGCCAGCAGCCGC